AGUGGUGCGGAACUGGCAGUCCGAACGGAGACCGGAAGCAGCGAAGGGACGUUCCAACUGUAACGGAAAAGAACCGGUCUUCGUGGGCGGCCCGGCGAGUAACGCGUGGGCAACCUGCCCCGUACCGGGCCAUCACACUUAGAAAUAGGUGCUAAUACCGCAUAAUAGGGAAUACCGCAUGGUAAUCCUUUGAAAACUCCGGUGGUACAGGAUGGGCCCGCGUCUGAUUAGCCAGUUGGCGGGGUAACGGCCCGCCAAAGCGACGAUCAGCAGCCGGCCUGAGAGGGUGGACGGCCACACUGGGACUGAGACACGGCCCAGACUCCUACGGGAGGCAGCAGUGGGGAAUAUUGCACAAUGGGGGGAACCCUGAUGCAGCGACGCCGCGUGAGUGAAGAAGUAUUUCGGUAUGUAAAGCCCUAUCAGCAGGGAAGAAGAAAUGACGGUACCUGAGUAAGAAGCACCGGCUAAAUACGUGCCAGCAGCCGCGGUAAUACGUAUGGUGCAAGCGUUAUCCGGAUUUACUGGGUGUAAAGGGAGCGCAGGCGGCACGGCAAGCCUGAUGUGAAAGCCCGCGGCCCAACCGCGGGACUGCAUUGGGAACUACCGGGCUGGAGUGCCGGAGAGGUAGGCGGAAUUCCUAGUGUANCGGUGAAAUGCGUAGAUAUUAGGAGGAACACCAGUGGCGAAGGCGGCCUACUGAACGGUGACUGACGCUGAGGCUCGAGAGCGUGGNGAGCAAACAGGAUU
rnacentral:rRNA from 1 species